AUGUACAUUCCUACAACGUUAAUGCAUCGUAUCCCAUUAGAACUCCGCAGUUAAUCAUGCUCGAGCUAGACUAGUAUUGGGAUGGGUGAGCUCUCAGGAAGUCAUAGUGUUUUACACA
rnacentral:rRNA from 1 species